AGUCUGUAGCAAACAAGGCAACCCACAGUCUUUGACAGGGUCAAGAAGACUUCGCUGGCUCCAAUGGGGGAAGCCUCUUGAAUUGGGUAUAGGAAAAAGUGGUAAUAUUUGUGCCAACAAAGCAAAACAAAACCUAAGAGGGCCUUGUGGUUCACCCCUUGGAUUUCUAAGAAGCUACACUUCCAUAAUUAGACCACUGGGGGGCAGAAGAGCAACAAAAAUUCCUCAGCAUGGCUGACUCGCACCGCCCUCUGGGCGCUCAUCAUUGCUGACUUGGUCUGCAACAGGCAGAGGAGGCUCAGGCACCUCAUUUUCAGCUCCCACCACCUCCUCCCAGCCACCCGAUCCAGAGAGAGAAAAUCAAGAUGCAGCAACUGGGGAAUCCAAAAAAAAAAAUGGUUACAGCAGCUAAGAGGUCUACUGGUACAGGCCAGGGUGCUUGCUCCCAGUCUCCCAAAGGGCAAAGAAGGGGCCAGGUGGGGAGAACAGACAGUUACAGCUGCCUGACCGAGGACCCAAAAAAAGUUGGAGGGAAGUGGAUAAGUCUGGGAGAGUUUCUUUUCCAAAUCAGAGGAAAGGUGGAUGUCUCUGAAGAGAGCCAGAGUUCCCAGUCGUUAACAAGCCCACUCAGCCCCAGGGUGCCUGCCUACACCAAUGAGGAGAAGACAAGUGGACAUGCACAGCUAAGGCCUGAAGGCAUCCAGGUCGACAGGAUGCUGCAGGUGAAAGGUGUUCCUUGGGGUCAGGGUAGAUGAGGUAAGCCCAACAGUGAGGCUGGGAGACAACAAAGACCAGGCAUCUCGGCCAUCUUCCACACAAGCAGAUGUGAGUGUGAAACAGACCUUAACAAAAGAUUCAGUCCUACUACAACCCUAGUACACGAGAGACUAGGGCAUGUUGUGUUACAAAAUACAACAACAACUCAAACCAACCCCUCCAACAACCACCACCACCACCACCACCAGUAAUAGCAACAAAGAA
ensembl:antisense 4930579G18Rik RIKEN cDNA 4930579G18 gene